GAGUUUGAUCCUGGCUCAGGACGAACGCUGGCGACGUGCCUAAUGCAUGCAAGUCGAACGCAGGGUGCUUGCACCGCUGCGUGGCGCACGGCUGAGGAACACGUGGGGAUCAACCCGUGAGUGGGGGAUAACCUAGCGAAAGCUGGGCUAAUCCCGCAUACGCUCGCAAGAGGAAAGCAGUAAUGCGCUCCGGGAUGACGCUGCGGCCCAUCAGGUAGUUGGUAGGGUAAUGGCUUACCAAGCCGGUGACGGGUCCCUGGUCUGAGAGGACGACCAGGCAGACUGGGACUGAGACACGGCCCAGACUCCUACGGGAGGCAGCAGCAAGGAAUUUUCCCCAAUGGGCGCACGCCUGAGGGAGCAACGCCGCGUGGGGGAUGACGGCCUUCGGGUUGUAAACUCCUUUUGGGUGGGAUGAUGAUGACAGUA
rnacentral:rRNA from 1 species